rnacentral:rRNA from 1 species
GGAUGAGAAUCUUCGGCAAUGGACGAAAGUCUGACCGAGCGACGCCGCGUGCGGGAUGAAGGUCUUCGGAUUGUAAACCGCUGUCAGAGGGGAUGAAGUGCACGGGGGUUCUCCCCUGUGUUUGACAGAGCCUCAGAGGAAGCACGGGCUAAGUUCGUGCCAGCAGCCGCGGUAAUACGAACUGUGCGAACGUUAUUCGGAAUCACUGGGCUUAAAGGGUGCGUAGGCGGUUAUCUAAGUCAGGUGUGAA